GCGCGAAAACUUUACAAUGCGGGCAACCGUGAUAAGGAAACCCCGAGUGCCAGCAUAGGUUGGCUGUCCGCCAGUGUAAAAAACUGGUGAAGAAAGGGCCGGGCAAGACCGGUGCCAGCCGCCGCGGUAAUACCGGCGGCUCGAGUGGUGGCCGCUAUUACUGGGCUUAAAGGGUCCGUAGCUUGAGGAUUGGGUCCCUUGAGAAAUCCACCGGCUUAACUGGUGGGCGUUCAGGGGAAACUGGUCUUCUAGGGACCGGGAGAGGUGAGAGGUACUGCCGGGGUAGGAGUGAAAUCCUGUAAUCCCGGUGGGACCACCUAUGGCGAAGGCAUCUCACCAGAACGGCUCCGACAGUGAGGGACGAAAGCUGGGGGAGCAAACCGG
rnacentral:rRNA from 1 species